GGUAGAGUGGCUGAGUGCGCAAGCGGUGGGUUGUAGCCCCGAAGACAGAGGUUUGAGUCCUCUCUGUACCA
rnacentral:tRNA from 1 species